CAAUAGCAUGGCUCAAGAGAUGAUGAUACUGAUGGAAACAUCAAUAAAAAAGGGAUUUCUACUGUGUUGCCUUUUUCCCAAACAAAAAACACAUUAUACAAACCACCUCGGAUUACUAUAUGGCAGCAGUUCCCAAUUAUCUGGAUGAAGGCACUUAUUGAGCAAGGAGGUGAGACUUUCCCAUGGGAGCUAAUGCAGCUUGAUAAUGAUUCGCCAGUCUGUCCAGCAGGAAGGUGCUGGAGAGAGCAGCAGGAGGGCUUCGCUUGGGAUGCUCAUGUAUGCGAUGGAUACACAUCUUUCUCCUGAAUGGUGAACAUAAUAUAAAAAUACUUAUGGCAGCUGGGAGGAGUGGAAGAUAUUGUUGGGCCUGGAGGGCAUUACUAGGCCUUAAUGACCCUGCCUGGCCCCACCUGGGCCCCUGGCCCUGGCCCCAAGCUCCAUUUCAGCCCAGCUCUAGUACAGAGCUGCUGACUUCAGCCCCAGCCCAUGGCUGCCCUGCUGCCUCGUGGGGAGGUGGGGCAGCCCCUGGCCCCUGUGGUGUCUGGACAGAUAUUGCCAAAAAGCUUGAAAGUCUACUCAUAAACCCAAAAGGAAAACUUUGGAGGCAGGAGGCAGGUGAAGUGAGGAAUAACUGGAAGAGCAAGCAGAACUUGUGGAAUAAGAGAAAAGAAAACAUCAUUAGAAAACAGGUAAUUUGGGCAUUGUUUUUAUAUUCCUUAUUGCGUUCCGAGAAUAAAUUUGUCCUUAAUUCAGUUCUUAAAAAGAGAGCAUAGAACUGUUUAGGUAUGCAGUACAAAAACUAUAUCGUCACUGUGUAUAAAGCUGUAGAUUAGGUGAAGGCUCAGGGAGGCAAAUGAUGUUCUUUUUCCUCAAACUUUUCUUUGUAAGUCACUGUCACUGAAGUGAUUCGAGCACCCUGCGGAGGAGGAGGUGAAUACUGACCCCCUUUAUUUCCUUUAAGCUGUUCCUUUUGGUGACAGCGCCAAUGGCCUAACGGCAUGGCCCAACGGCACGGCCCAGAGACUAAAGGAAUAUUGGUUGUGAUGGUCAAAAGCAGUUUACCUUUUUGGCCAUGACCACAGUGUCUUUGCUUACGGCUGGAUUAAAACUCAG
rnacentral:lncRNA from 1 species